rnacentral:rRNA from 1 species
UGAACGCUGCGGCAGGCCUAACACAUGCAAGUCGAGCGGAAACGAUCCUAGCUUGCUAGGAGGCGUCGAGCGGCGGACGGGUGAGUAAUGCAUAGGAAUCUGCCCGGUAGUGGGGGAUAACCUGGGGAAACCCAGGCUAAUACCGCAUACGCCCUACGGGGGAAAGCAGGGGAUCUUCGGACCUUGCGCUAUUGGAUGAGCCUAUGUCGGAUUAGCUUGUUGGUGAGGUAAAGGCUCACCAAGGCUGCGAUCCGUAGCUGGUCUGAGAGGAUGAUCAGCCACAUCGGGACUGAGACACGGCCCGAACUCCUACGGGAGGCAGCAGUGGGGAAUAUUGGACAAUGGGCGAAAGCCUGAUCCAGCCAUGCCGCGUGUGUGAAGAAGGCUUUCGGGUUGUAAAGCACUUUCAGUGAGGAAGAACGCCUUCGGAUUAAUACUCCGGAGGARAGACAUCACUCACAGAAGAAGCACCGGCUAACUCCGUGCCAGCAGCCGCGGUAAUACGGAGGGUGCGAGCGUUAAUCGGAAUUACUGGGCGUAAAGCGCGCGUAGGUGGCUUGAUAAGCCGGUUGUGAAAGCCCCGGGCUCAACCUGGGAACGGCAUCCGGAACUGUCAGGCUAGAGUGCAGGAGAGGAAGGUAGAAUUCCCGGUGUAGCGGUGAAAUGCGUAGAGAUCGGGAGGAAUACCAGUGGCGAAGGCGGCNUUCUGGACUGACACUGACACUGAGGUGCGAAAGCGUGGGUAGCAAACAGGAUUAGAUACCCUGGUAGUCCACGCCGUAAA